rnacentral:rRNA from 1 species
UACAGAGGUCUCAAGCGUUGUUCGGAUUCAUUGGGCGUAAAGGGUGUGUAGGUGGCGCGCUAAGUCGGGUGUGAAAUUUCGGAGCUUAACUCCGAAACUGCAUUCGAUACUGGCGUGCUUGAGGACUGGAGAGGAGACUGGAAUUCAUGGUGUAGCAGUGAAAUGCGUAGAGAUCAUGAGGAAGACCAGUGGCGAAGGCGACUUCCUGGCCUGUUCUUGACGCUGAGGCGCGAAAGCUAGGGGAGCAAACGGG